ensembl:lncRNA
GGAUUUAGUCCAGGCUACCACAUUGCACUUGGCUACCUCAUUUCCACAGUCUUAGAGGAGAGAACUUCUAAGAUGAGGAGUCUGGCUUCCCAGCCGCUGGACCGAGCUCCAGGAGGAAGAGGCUGAGGCUGAGAACAUGCAGCGUGGGCCCCUAACCUCCUGCCAGAAGGUCCACGGCAUGCCAAAUGGUGCCAUGUCCUCACCUGGGAUCCGAACCAGCAAACCCCGGGCUGCCGAAAUGGAGUGUGCGCACUUAACUACUGCACCACCGGGCGGGCCCCUGACUGCCUUUUUUAAAGGAAGAAGAGACUGGAACUCACAUUUGAUGCCUGGAUUUGUCUUAGUCGGGCCUUUCGAAUCCACUCCUACAGGCUUUCCAUCUGUGCAUUCCUCUUUCGGCUAUAAGACCUUCUGGAAAGCAGGAGAAUCUGUAAAGGAAACAAACAGGAAAUGGGUUAGUGGAUUCUGCUGUAGUCUUCAGCUGUCAUAUUCUGUUUGAUUCUCGUGUCGCUUUGAAAAAGGAUAUUACCACUUAGAUGAAGUCCACAGGCAAUCUCUUCAAGCCAUAUUUCCUGUCUGCAUAACCCCAGACAGUUUGCGAAACACUUAAUGUUGUUCUACUGUCGAUCCACACAACUGUGUGAUAUAGGCAGGCACCUUAGUUUUUCUUGGAGAUCUUUGUUUUAUUAGGGACUUUUGUAUUUUAUUAGAAGACAGCACAGGCAGCAUGAGGACUCUUUCUGCCAUCCUAUACAUUUGGUUUCUCAAGCUCAGUGGUCCUCAGAGUAGUCCCUGGACCACAGCAUCCGCAACACUCGGAACCUGUUAGAUAUGAAAAUUCUCUGACCCCAAGCCUACUGGAUCAGAAGCUCUGGGGAUGGGGCCCAGGAACCUAUGUUGUAACAACCCCUCCAGAUGAUUCUGAUGCACACUCGAGUUUGAUGCACUGCACCGUUUGCAACUCUUAUAGAAGGAAAAAUCACGAAGAAAGCUGAGAUGACCUAGAGAUACAUGUGAUGUCAGCCGUGGAAGGUUUGAAAGAUGUGCGUGUAAAAGAUGGAGCAGAUUUGUUCAGCACUGCUUUAAAGGUUUUUCAACCAACUUAAGAAAGAAGAUUUCAAGAAAGAGCCCUUCUAAUUUGAAUGUUUUGGGAGACAUAUCUGAUCACUAGAGAGAGUCAAGCAGAGAGACCUAAGGCCCAUCCAUGCCCCCAGAGUAGGGCAGGAGAAAUUCUUGUAUUAGGUGGAUGCAGUUGGAGUUUUAGGGGGUGACUAAAUAAAUUUUUCCUUCCUGUGUUUGGAAGCAAUUGAGAAAUAAGAAAGAGGGGUUAGAUAAAGGAGAUCAAAUUUCAUUGUUGGUAAAGCCUCCUCGUUAGAGCGGUGGAGUGGAUUCCGGCUUCUAGUGACCCUGGGUACAUCAGAGUAGAACCCUGCCCGGUCUUUUUGCACCAUCCUCUCACCUUCCAGCGCUAUAUCAGACAGUGCUCUGCUGCUAUUCAUAGGGUUCUCAUGGCCAAUUUUUCUGGAAGUGGUUAGCCAGGUCCUUCUUCCUAGUCUGUCUUAGUCUGGAAGCUCUGCUGAAACCUGUCCACCAUGGGUGACCCAGCUGGUAUUUGAAAUCCCAGUGGCAUAGCUUUCAGCAUCUCAGCAACACGCAGCCGCCACGGAAUGACAACCAACAGACAGGUGGUGUGGUUCCCUGACCAGGAAACAAACCCCAGACAUGGUGGUGAGACCAUCGGAUCUUAACUACUGGAUCACCAGGGCUGGCUUCAUAAAGAGAAUAUGUAGAGAACAUGUGUGUUCUAGAUUUUUUUUUUCCCAUAAAGGAGUGUGUAACAAACCACUCCCAAAUAGUGACUUAAAAUGAUACCAAACAUUUAUUUGUUCUUUAUGUGGGAAUUGGCUGGGCUCAUCUAGCUAAGUUUCACCCAGGUCUCUCAUGUGGGUGCAGUCAAGUGGCGGCCG